AUUGAACGCUGGCGGCAUGCCUUACACAUGCAAGUCGAACGGCAGCAUGGAAGAGCUUGCUCUUCUGAUGGCGAGUGGCGAACGGGUGAGUAAAGCAUCGGAACGUACCGUGUAAUGGGGGAUAACGUAGCGAAAGUUACGCUAAUACCGCAUACGACCUGAGGGGGAAAGCAGGGGAUCGCAAGACCUUGCGUUAUACGAGAGGCCGAUGUCAGAUUAGCUAGUUGGUGGGGUAAAGGCUCACCAAGGCGACGAUCUGUAGCGGGUCUGAGAGGAUGAUCCGCCACACUGGGACUGAGACACGGCCCAGACUCCUACGGGAGGCAGCAGUGGGGAAUUUUGGACAAUGGGGGCAACCCUGAUCCAGCCAUGCCGCGUGAGUGAAGAAGGCCUUCGGGUUGUAAAGCUCUUUCGGCCGGGAAGAAAUCGCACAGGCUAAUACUCUGUGUGGAUGACGGUACCGGCAUAAGAAGCACCGGCUAACUACGUGCCAGCAGCCGCAGUAA
rnacentral:rRNA from 1 species